UUCGUGUUGACAGGCAGGGAAGUGUCCACCUUAGAAAGCCUUCGAGAACUUUUCUCCCCAGGACUUCAGGGAGCCAAUACUGUAAUAACAAGAUCCAGGUUUUAUGUUUUUAACAACACGGUAACAGGAAAAAGUCUUUCUGGCAUCUCAGCCUGACGUAGGGUGGCUUCCUGGCACCCAGAGCCUCUUAUGCUGAAGGCAAAGCAGGAGCCCAAAGCGAGAUCCAGCGACCCAAGAGAGACUUCAGGCAAAGAUACGCAGAUACGCAUUGGGAAGCUGGCCGUCAUGCACCGAAGUGGAAACGUGACAGGUUCAGGAAAUCUCCGACCUAGGAGUCACCGCUCAUCCAGGGGUCUGUGAAGAAGGAAGAAGAAUCAGCACCCUCUUCCAGUUCAUGGAGAGAUGUGGAAAGCUGAGUAAUAUUUGCCAAAGGAUAAGUGCCUCCUAUUCAUUCUAUUCUAACGUAAGCUCCUGAGAACCAAACUGUAAAACUCUGUCACAAGUGAAAAUAAAAAGAGUAAAAACAUGAUAGAAAUCCAAAUCCACACCACCCAUGAAAUGAAGGUUGCGAUUUCACCUUGGUCAUUAGACCACAUAACCUUAUACUUACCAACAGGCCUUUUCACUUUCCUCGUUCCUAUGCCUCUGUCACACCCUUAACCACAUGCCAUCUGCCUAAAAGCAGACUGAGGAGAUUGUCAUGCUAAGAUAAUGAGAUAAAAGUCAAGACAUAUAAAGUACUACAGAAUCCUUAGAAAUUAGAGGUAAUAUCCACCUGGGGUGAUAAAGAAAGAGUUCAUAAAAAUGAUAUUUUCAGAGAUAAGAAGAGUGAAGUUCAACAAACAGAGAUGAGAUGACUGAGAAAGGACAUUAUAGAAAGAGAGAAUAUGAGUAAAAACGUGAAGGUCAAAAAUGAGGGACACAAGUAAGAAAGGCUAUGGCUCUCUUCCACUUUCCCUCCACGUAUUUCAUCAACCUUUAAUCGUCUCUAUUAGACUCUUUCAACCUGCUUAUCUCUCCAACCUGCUUAACAUUCAAUUCUCUGUAUCAUUAUUCUCAUUUAUACCCUCAGUACCUUUCUCCACCUAGACUAUUGUGACAAUAUUCUACCCACUUCCUCAUUUUUGGAUAAAUCUACUCACUGCUCAGUUUCACAUAGAUUAAAAGCAGGAUUGGAUCGCCCAAUGCCUACUGAAUAAAGCCC